GUUGAACGCUGGCGGCAGGCCUAACACAUGCAAGUCGUGCGGAUGAGAGGAGCUUGCUCCUCGAUUCAGCGGCGGACGGGUGAGUAAUGCCUAGGAAUCUGCCUAGUAGUGGGGGACAACGUUUCGAAAGGAACGCUAAUACCGCAUACGUCCUACGGGAGAAAGUGGGGGAUCUUCGGACCUCACGCUAUUAGAUGAGCCUAGGUCGGAUUAGCUAGUUGGUAGGGUAAAGGCCUACCAAGGCGACGAUCCGUAACUGGUCUGAGAGGAUGAUCAGUCACACUGGAACUGAGACACGGUCCAGACUCCUACGGGAGGCAGCAGUGGGGAAUAUUGGACAAUGGGCGAAAGCCUGAUCCAGCCAUGCCGCGUGUGUGAAGAAGGCCCUCGGGUCGUAAAGCACUUUAAGUUGGGAGGAAGGGCUUACAGCGAAUACCUGUGAGUUUUGACGUUACCGACAGAAUAAGCACCGGCUAACUUCGUGCCAGCAGCCGCGGUAAUACGAAGGGUGCAAGCGUUAAUCGGAAUUACUGGGCGUAAAGCGCGCGUAGGUGGCUUGAUAAGUUGGAUGUGAAAUCCCCGGGCUCAACCUGGGAACUGCAUCCAAAACUGUCUGGCUAGAGUGUGGUAGAGGGUAGUGGAAUUUCCAGUGUAGCGGUGAAAUGCGUAGAUAUUGGAAGGAACACCAGUGGCGAAAGCGACUACCUGGACUAACACUGACACUGAGGUGCGAAAGC
rnacentral:rRNA from 1 species